UACGUAGGGCGCAAGCGUUGUCCGGAAUUAUUGGGCGUAAAGAGCUCGUAGGCGGUCUGUCACGUCUGCCGUGAAAACCCGAGGCUUAACCUCGUGGCUUGCGGUGGAUACGGGCAGACUAGAGGUAGGUAGGGGAGAACGGAAUUCCCGGUGUAGCGGUGAAAUGCGCAGAUAUCGGGAGGAACACCGGUGGCGAAGGCGGUUCUCUGGGCCUUACCUGACGCUGAGGAGCGAAAGCAUGGGGGAGCGAACAGG
rnacentral:rRNA from 1 species